CAGCUGAGUAAAAGCGGGGUUGUGAUGGAGACGUGAAUGAGGUUCAGUUCUGAAGCGUCUCUGCGGUUUGUGUUGUUGCAUUUAACAGUGUGCUUUGUAGCCUAAUAGCAAGUUUACCCAGGAUCGGAUCCACUCUUUGCGUCCGUGGACUACACCUCUCCGUUGUUCUUCGUGGCCUUUCUCCGCUGGAGAUCUGACGGAUUGUCUGACUGACCGACUGACUACAACCUUUUUGUGAGGAGGCCUUCGUACUGAUCGACUCACCAGAAAACACACAGAGUGACAAGGAGGAUCGUGAUGGCUGCAGCCGAGGAGAGACAGACGAUGAAGACAAUCACUGCACAAACACACAGGAGAAAGACAUCAGACCCAGGUGAUCCACCACACAGGUGACAUUCUGACCAGAGAACAUGGAAGUGGGGAACCUCAACACACUACGGACCCUCACCGUCAGAGCCAUUAUCACAGCAGUUCCUUCAUGAGUCUGGGCGUUUCCAUGAGGCGUCUGUGAUGUCAUUCUGUCCCAGGUACUGACAGCGGAGGAAGACAUCCUCUCCAAGGAUCCCAG